AUCCGAUCUGUAGAUACAUGCAUUUAAAAAGUUCAGGUUCUCGAUGUGAUGACACGCAAAACCCUCACACGGACAGCCCCAUUCAAGGAGGAAAUCAAAAAACUGAAAUGCCCCGUUUGGAUCGGUCGCAUACAAAUUUGAUUUAGAAACCGUUUGAGAAUAACUCCAUCCCCAUUGCCACUACCAGAAAAUAUGACUUCUGUCAUUUGAUCCUGUGACACACAACGCGACACAAGUUGGGAUGGAUCCAUUCAUCCAUCCAUUUUUUUUUUUCUCAGCCGCUUAUACUCACGCGGGUCGCGGGAGCCCCGGAGCCAUUCCCGGAUGUCAUCGGGCAGGAGGCGGGGCACACCCUGAACUGGUCGCCAGCCAAUCGCAGGGCACGUGGAGAGAGACAACAGUCACACUCACAAUCACACCGACGGGGCAAUUUCAGGUCUUCAGUUAACCUACCAUACAUGUUUUUGGGAUGCGGGAGGAAACCGGAGUGCCCACGCAGAGAAAACCCACGUAGGCAUGAGGAGAGCAGGGAAACUCCACGCAGGGGAAGCCGGGAUUUGAACCUCGGUCUUCAGAACCGUGAGGCCAACGCUCUAUACGGCUGCGACACCGUACCGCCAGAAGUUGGACGGAUGGGUUUGUAAUUUUUUCACAAUUAAAAAGUAUGUUUAGAAUUACAUGUACUAAAUAUAAUAAUUUAGCACCCAAAAAUUCAAAUGUUUUCUUAUUUUUAUUAUUUUGUUGUUUUAUUCUUGAAGGAUUUGGAUUUUAUCUGGGGUUCAAAUCCCUGCCACCCCUGUGUGGAGCUUGCAUGUCCGGGUGGCUUUUGUCCGGGCAUUCCGGUUUCCCUCCCACAUCCCAAAAAUAUGCAACAUUAAUUGGCCAUUAGAAGCGUGAUUGUGAGUGCGACUGUUGUCUGUCUCCACGUAACCUGCGACUGGCUGGCGACCAGUCCAGGGUGUGCCCCGCCUCCUGCCCGACGACAACUGGGAUUGGCUCCAGCACUCCCGCCGCCCUCGUGAGGAUAAGCGGAUCAGAAAAUGAAUGGCAGUCCUUCGAUUUUCACAUUUACAGCCUAGUUUGCAAAGAUGCAAUGAUUUUGACAUCUUACAGGAAGUGUGGCUGGGGGGAACGUACGGUAAUCCACCAAAUGUUAUUUUUGUGAGUCGGAGAAUCCGUUCGUCAUCCUAUUUUUUUUUUUCUCUCUUUCGACGUCAUCACAGCGAGGGCGGAGCAAGAGGAGGAAGUGAGAGAAGGCGGAGGAGGUCCGAGGAAGGAGAGAAACUCCAGUGAAUGAAGCCAAACCUCCAAGCGGGACGCGAGAGGUGCGGGUCAGAGCAAAAAAAAAAACAACAACAACAACAACAAACAAACAAAAAAAGUGUCUCUUUCUUUCUGGUGAGCCUCACGUCGGGGAAGGCAACCUUGGGGCGGUUGACUUUCUGCUUUUUGGCUUCAGUUCAGCAGGUGUGAGUUCCUGAACGCACCAUGGCGGAGGGAAGCUGCUUCGGCGCCCCGGAACUGAAGAAAUAAUACAGGCGAAGCGGGGAAACUAUUUUCUGAAUCAAAAACAACCUCAUUCCGCAAAAAGUUGCAAGUUGAAAAAGUUUGAUUGCAAGAGCGCCGCAAGCAUGUGCCACGCGAUCGUCACUUGCCGCUCGAUGCUGUGGACCCUGCUGAGCAUCCUGGUGGCCUUCGCCGAGCUCAUCGCCUUCAUGAGCCCCGACUGGCUGCUGGGUUUCCCCCGCAACGAUUCCGACUCCGGGGGGUUCCGGCCCUCCCUGGGGCUCUACAGCCGCUGCCUCCGCCUCGGCGCCCGGGGAGGGGGCGUGAGCUGCGGGCCCUACGCCGGGACCUUCGGCGAGGUGGCCAGCGGCUUCUGGCGGGCGGCCAUGUUGUUCUUGGCGGCGGGGAUUUUGGUGCUGGGAGUGGUGGCCUGCCUCUCCGUCUUCAGCGUGUGCUUCCAGAGCAUCCUGAGGAAAAGCAUCUUCAACAUCUGCGGUCUCAUGCAGGCCGCCGCAGGCCUCCUGCUCCUCGUGGGCCUCAUGCUGUACCCCGCCGGUUGGGGUUCCGAGAAGGUGCUGAGCUACUGCGGCGCGGAGGCCUCCCCCUUCAGGCCGGCCCUGUGCUCCCUCGGCUGGGCGUUCUACGCGGCCGUCGGGGGAACCCUGGCCGCCUUCCUGUGCGCCGUUUUGUCCGCGCAGGCCGAGAUCGCCACUUCCGGCGACAAAGUGCAGGAGGAGAUAGACGAAGGCAAGAGUCUAAUCUGCGUGUUGUGACGCCGGCGCUCCAUCCUGAAUGGAAGCUGCGCGGACUUUUGUGGUGAGAAAAAGCUGAAGCUUUUUUUUUUUUUUUUUUUUUUUUUUUUGUACAGAUGUUUUGCAAGCUUGCUAAGUCCUGGUUAAUUCUACAAAAAGGCUUUUUGCGCAAAGCGCAGACCACUGAUUCAGACCCGCGGAAUCUAAUAUAGUCCACGACCGCUUUCAAGAUAACAUUUCAAAAUUGAAAGGCUACGAUGGUAGAUCCCCCAAAAUGUAUUCCAUAAUUUCCUGUAUCGUCACUGUCCAAAAAAAGGCUCCAAUUAGUUCCGUCCCUCCCCCCAUAAAAACACGAAUAUCAUGACACCAAAUGUGAAGACAAAGCGAAACUGUGACACGUGCAUGCAAAUGAUCAAGUUCAGUUUUGGAGUGACACUUUUAUCACACCGUAUUGUUGUUCUUCCGUUUACAGUGAAACAUAAAAAAAUGUAGUUUGUAAAGAGCUCUUGUCGAGAUUUUCUUUUUUUUUUUUCCUCCUCCCAUGUUUGAAAAGACCACUGAACAGCACAAUGUGACGUCAUUGUAGAUGUCUUCCCCCCCCCCCCCCCCAACGAAUAAUGUCAAGUCCCAUGAAUGUGCGCCUCUUUUGUUAGACGAUUGUACAAAUAUUUCUAUUGCAGAAAUUCGUUUCCAUGAUGCUGGCUCGUAGUGUUGUAGUUCAUGCUGCCUCCGAGCUCGGGAUGACAGAGCAACGUUUGCGUCCUGCCGUGACGGAACGCGACUGGCGAGCCAUGAAGGUCUAAACAGCUGGCAACAAAAGAAAGUCGACCACGAGGUGAAAACAUCCAAAAAGGUCUCAGUAUUUCAUCUUCCAUGCUGAAGAUGAAAACACAUCAAGCGUGAGGUUGUGCCACCUAGUGGGGAAGAUUGCGAAUUACAGCCCACCUCAUCAAUUCGUUCCUGUUUCGAUAGCUUGUGACCUCAUUUGACCUGCAGGUAAGCCCAUAAAACACUGAAGCCCUCCUCGUGUUCAUAAUGUCUAGACUAUCCCCCAAUCCAAAAAUAAAAAAACAUACGCGAUAGUUAAGAACGAAGUUGAAAUAAGACAUACAGUAUGUCAUGUUUUUUCUUCUCACGAUACAAUUGUGGAAGCUCGUGGCUGGAACACGUGAACUUCAUUUGGGUUUUAUCAGCGCCAGCGGCUGCGUGCUGACUCCUAUUGAACGUGACUAGUUAU